rnacentral:tRNA from 1 species
GGAGAGAUGGCCGAGUGGUCGAAGGCGGCUCCCUGCUAAGGAGUUGCACGGGGAUAACCCGUGCCGUGGGUUCGAAUCCCACUCUCUCCGCCA